rnacentral:rRNA from 1 species
UACGUAGGAGACGAGCGUUGUCCGGAGUUACUGGGCGUAAAGGGUGCGCAGGUGGCGGCGCGCGUGGGGGGUGAAAUCGCCCGGCUUAACUGGGCGGGGGCCUUCCAGACGGCGUGGCUUGAGCAGCGGAGGGGGACGUGGAAUUCCACGUGUAGCAGUGAAAUGCGUAGAGAUGUGGAGGAAUACCGAUGGCGAAGGCAGCCCCCUGGGCCAAUACUGACGCUCAUGCACGAAAGCGUGGGGAGCAAACAGG